UUAGCGCAUGCCUGAUUGGUUGCUUGACCUCUCCCUGGGUUAGAGACCUAGGAACAAAAAUACAGCAUUCCCUCCUGCUGCAGUGAGGAUACCUUGGCACCUGAUGAAAGGACAGGAGGCAUUUGAUGCCCCUCCUCCUCUCCAGAAAGGAGCCAAGUUCAUGCAGAGGUGGCUCGGGGCGAUAGAAAGACCAGGAAAGAGUCCCUAUUAGCACAUUCCUGUUUCCCUGGUGCAAAGGACAAAACAGUGAAACUGACCAAUGCAAAGUGCAGGAGGGAAGGAGUGCGGUCAGGGAAGUUAAAUGGUUCUACUGUGCCCAGCCCACCCUGGCAGCUCAGAAGUCUCCUCAGAAGCCCUUGAAGAUGAAGAAAGAAAAAAAGAACAUUUCCAGGUGACUCCCAGCUCUACCAGGAGAAGGAAAAAAAGCAGAUAAUCUCCCAUUCUUCCCUCCUGCCUAUGUCUCAAUCCAACCAGUGCUCUUAUCUUCAAGAUAGUCCAAUCCAGCAAAGUUUUGAAGUCAGCUAAUUAUAACCAAGGGCAAGGGUGGGGAAAGUAGGUAGGAGAAAGAGGGAAGUUUGCUUUGCACUCAGAAUACAAAUAUUCUAACAAGAAGCCAGCACGACUCUAUCCCCAUCUAGGAUUCUCAGUCUUCCCAGACUGGGAAGAUUAGGGAAGGGAGGUAAAUUCUUUACUGAACUAAAUGCUCUCUUCCUAAAGUACCUUAAAAGAAUAACUUGUGAUUGAGAGAAAAUGAGGUGGAGGGGCAGGAGAGAGAGAUGAGUCAAAGAACUUAGCUCUCCCCCCAACCUUGCCUUACCACUCUGCAAAUACAACAGCUCUCCCCACCCAAUCCCAACUCCAGUCUUCCUUUCCUCUCUUUUCUUUUCAGGGGACUUCUUCCCCUUUCUCUCCCUUUAACUGUGAUCACAAGUAGUUGGGGGAGUUUUGUGCGUAAAACGGAGAAAAGGGGGGAAGAGGGAGGAGAGAGAGAGAGAGAGAGAGAGAGAGAGAGAGAGAGAGAGAGAGAGAGAGAGAGAGAGAAUUAACUUACAGCGUUCGCCUGGG
rnacentral:lncRNA from 1 species